UGAACAAUCUUCUUUUUUCGCGUUUCGUUUUCACUGCGCGCUCCCUUGAAAGCUCAGUCGCCAUUGUGAAACCAGCUAAACAAGUUCGGACGAGUUGUCCGUCGCGAUUUUUUUCAUUUUCACGCUGAAAUGGACCUUUUUUGGAGAAUUGGUCAUUCCCAGUCUCAGGAAUUUGGGAAAAAACUACGGAUUGCUAUCUGUGUAAAAAUCUGCCCGCUGCAACGGUCUGCGACUCCCGGAUUCCGUUCUCUUUAAGUUUGAACCUGAAGCGAUCGCAUCCGGCAAAUGGCGAAACGGCCCUGGCCGGCAAGACAUGGUAUCUGGCAAUUCAUUCCCGGAUUUUGGCCAGAAAGAAGAGUGGAAGAGCUAAUUGCAGUUGCUUUCCCUGUCCUGCAUCCGGUGAUGCAGUCGAGAAGAAGCGGAAACGAUCCGGGAGGUUCAAAAUCGUUUUUCGGACUCUAAACUCACGUGAACCAACCUGACCGGAUUGAGCGAGACCUAGUGGCAUGCGGAUUUAUUUUUUAGAAGAAAAUAGU